rnacentral:lncRNA from 1 species
GCCGGGUCGCGGCUGGAGUGAGGACGCGCUGUGUGGAGCAGCGGAGCCAAGGCGCUGCUUCCACAGCUGCUCAGGAGGGGAGCAUGUCUGCAACUCGAGCCAAGAAAGUGAAGAUGGCCACCAAAUCGUGCCCGGAGUGCGACCAACAGAAAACAAGCAUGAGGCCAAGAGGAGGCGAACAGAGAGAGUCAGGCGAGAGAAGAUAAAUUCUACAGUAAAUAAAGAUUUAGAAAACAGAAAGAGAUCUCGAAGUAACAGCCAUUCAGAUCAUAUCAGACGAGGAAGAGGAAGACCUAAAAGUUCAUCCGCCAAAAAACACGAGGAAGAGAGAGAAAAACAGGAGAAGGAAAUUGACAUCUAUGCUAACCUCUCUGAUGAGAAGGCUUUCGUGUUUUCAGUUGCCUUGGCAGAAAUAAAUAGAAAAAUUAUCAAUCAAAGACUUAUUCUCUGAUAUUUGUCUUCAGAAUCUGUCGCCACUUUCUUCAGGAUGAUGUCAGCAGAUGCUCAGACAGUCGUGGACUCUCAGACUGUGUGAGCGAGGGCCACUGUUGCUUCUCUCUGUUUUCUAGUCUGUUGCCACACUUAGGGAGCCAAGCUGCGGGCUUAGACUCUGCUGGGAUUUCCUGUUUACCAAGGAUUAUUAUCAGUGUUCUGUGUUGGGAUUUACUAAGUGUAUUUACAAAAACAAACAAGCAAAACUACCCCAAAAGCCCUGGCAACUGGAUGGAUAUUUACAGAGGAAGGGUGGGGGAUAGGAGUGUGGUGGAA